rnacentral:rRNA from 1 species
GACGAACGCUGGCGGCGUGCUUAACACAUGCAAGUCGAACGAAGUGGCGGACGGGUGAGUAACGCGUAAUCAACCUGCCCUUCAGAGGGGUAUAACAGUUGGAAACGACUGCUAAUACGGAAUACUGAAUGAGGGGAUUGCGUCUGAUUAGCUAGUUGGAGGGGUAAGGGCCCACCAAGGCGAUGAUCAGUAGCCGGUCGGAAAGGAUUAACGGCAACAUGGGGACUGGGACACGGCCCAGACUCCUACGGGAGGCAGCAGGGGGGAAUCUUCCGCAAUGGAGGAAAGUCUGACGGCGCAACGCCGCGUGGUUGAUGACGGCCUUCGGGUUGGAAAGCUCUGUUAAGCGGGACGCGGUACCGGAAUAGAAAGCCACGGCUAACUACGUGCCAGCCGCCGCGGUAAUUC